GACCGAAUGGUAAACAGUCGACGUUGCU
rnacentral:sRNA from 1 species